UACGAAGGGGGCUAGCGUUGCUCGGAAUCACUGGGCGUAAAGCGCACGUAGGCGGAUCUUUAAGUCAGGGGUGAAAUCCCAAGGCUCAACCUUGGAACUGCCUUUGAUACUGGGGAUCUCGAGUCCGGAAGAGGUGAGUGGAACUGCGAGUGUAGAGGUGAAAUUCGUAGAUAUUCGCAAGAACACCAGUGGCGAAGGCGGCUCACUGGUCCGGUACUGACGCUGAGACGCGAAAGCGUGGGGAGCAAACAGG
rnacentral:rRNA from 1 species